rnacentral:rRNA from 1 species
GAUGAACGCUGGCGGCGUGCCUAAUACAUGCAAGUCGAGCGAACGGACGAGAAGCUUGCUUCUCUGAUGUUAGCGGCGGACGGGUGAGUCACACGUGGAUAACCUACCUAUAAGACUGGGAUCACUUCGGGAAACCGGCUCUAAUACCGGAUGAUAUUUUGAACCGCAUGGUUCAAAAGUGAAAGACGGUCUUGCUGUCUCUUCUAGAUGGAUCCGCGCUGCAUUAGCUAGUUGGUAAGGUAACGGCUUACCAAGGCAACGAUGCAUAGCCGACCUGAGAGGGUGAUCGGCCACACUGGAACUGAGACACGGUCCAGACUCCUACGGGAGGCAGCAGUAGGGAAUCUUCCGCAAUGGGCGAAAGCCUGACGGAGCAACGCCGCGUGAGUGAUGAAGGUCUUCGGAUCGUAAAACUCUGUUAUUAGGGAAGAACAUAUGUGUAAGUAACUGUGCACAUCUUGACGGUACCUAAUCAGAAAGCCACGGCUAACUACGUG